UCGGGAAUUUUGGACAAUGGGCGAAAGCCUGACCCAGCAACGCCGCGUGAAGGAUGAAGUAUUUCGGUAUGUAAACUUCGAAAGAAUAGGAAGAAUAAAUGACGGUACUAUUUAUAAGGUCCGGCUAACUACGUGCCAGCAGCCGCGGUAAUACGUAGGGACCAAGCGUUGUUCGGAUUUACUGGGCGUAAAGGGCGCGUAGGCGGCAUGACAAGUCACUUGUGAAAUCUCUGGGCUUAACCCAGAACGGCCAAGUGAUACUGUCGCGCUAGAGUGCAGAAGGGGCAAUCGGAAUUCUUGGUGUAGCGGUGAAAUGCGUAGAUAUCAAGAGGAACACCUGAGGUGAAGACGGGUUGCUGGGCUGACACUGACGCUGAGGCGCGAAAGCCAGGGGAG
rnacentral:rRNA from 1 species